UACGGGGGGGGCAAGCGUUGUUCGGAAUUACUGGGCGUAAAGGGCUCGUAGGCGGCCAACUAAGUCAGACGUGAAAUCCCUCGGCUUAACCGGGGAACUGCGUCUGAUACUGGAUGGCUUGAGUUUGGGAGAGGGAUGCGGAAUUCCAGGUGUAGCGGUGAAAUGCGUAGAUAUCUGGAGAACACCGGUGGCGAAGGCGGCAUCCUGGACCAACACUGACGCUGAGGAGCGAAAGCCAGGGGACGCAAGCGGG
rnacentral:rRNA from 1 species